UACAGAGGUCCCAAGCGUUGUUCGGAUUCACUGGGCGUAAAGGGUGCGUAGGUGGUGAGGUAAGUCGGAUGUGAAAGCUCGGAGCUCAACUCCGAAAUGGCAUUGGAAACUACCUUGCUCGAGGGUUGGAGGGGGGACUGGAAUACUUGGUGUAGCAGUGAAAUGCGUAGAUAUCGGGAGGAACACCUGUGGCGAAAGCGGCGCACUGGACCACAACUGACGCUGAGGAGCGAAAGCGUGGGGAGCGAACAGG
rnacentral:rRNA from 1 species